rnacentral:rRNA from 1 species
AUUGAACGCUGGCGGCAGGCUUAACACAUGCAAGUCGAGCGGGGUGAUGGUGCUUGCACUAUCACUUAGCGGCGGACGGGUGAGUAAUGCUUAGGAAUCUGCCUAUUAGUGGGGGACAACAUCUCGAAAGGGAUGCUAAUACCGCAUACGUCCUACGGGAGAAAGCAGAGGAUCACUUGUGACCUUGCGCUAAUAGAUGAGCCUAAGUCGGAUUAGCUAGUUGGUGGGGUAAAGGCCUACCAAGGCGACGAUCUGUAGCGGGUCUGAGAGGAUGAUCCGCCACACUGGGACUGAGACACGGCCCAGACUCCUACGGGAGGCAGCAGUGGGGAAUAUUGGACAAUGGGGGGAACCCUGAUCCAGCCAUGCCGCGUGUGUGACGAAGGCCUUAUGGUUGUAAAGCACUUUAAGCGAGGAGGAGGCUCUUUUGGUUAAUACCCAAGAUGAGUGGACGUUACUCGCAGAAUAAGCACCGGCUAACUCUGUGCCAGCAGCCGCGGUAA